rnacentral:lncRNA from 1 species
AUGGUUCGAGAAAACCGAAUUGAUUUUUGAAAUCUGCUCUUGUCCCAAGGAGAGCAAGGUGAAAUUCGCUGCUUGCACCUUCGAAACGAAAGCCCUAACAUGGUGGAACGGCCAUGUUAAGUUACUAUCUCUUAUAGGGGCUAAUGCUAUGGGCUGGGAAACUUUGAAAGACCUCAUGAUUGAGGAACUGCCCGAGNUGAAAGACCUCAUGAUUGAGGAGUACUGCCCGAGGGGCGAGAUUCAGAAGCUAGAGGAAGAGCUGUGGAGCCUAACCAUGAAGGGCUCCAAUGUCGUCGCCUACACCGCCAGAUUCUGUGAGCUGGUGGCCCUCUGUCCCAACAUGAUUCCUUCAGAGGGAAAGAAAAUCGAGAUAUAAAUAUGGGGGUUGGUGCCGCCAUACCAGGGAAAUGUUUUGGCAUCACAACCCACUAUAUUUGAUAGUGCCAAACGAUUGGCACAACGGCUCAUAGACCAUGGGGUUCGCACCCCAGCUGCAACAACUACCCUGGCCAUCUCAG